CUUUGUUUAAUUUUUAGGAAAGUACUUGAAGAAAAACUUGGUUGGAAUACUUCCAAAUGGAAAUGCAUAGAGCCACCUCAUUUAAAACAACAAGAUAACUAUAAUUGUGGUAUCUUUGUUUGUCAUUUUGGUAGGUGCUUGGCAGAAGAAUUAGAUGCUUGCCAGCCAUUCAUGCCAAGGGAUAUUAGGAUAGAUAUGCUGUCUAAACUUUUUGGAUCCUGUUAUGAUGAUAUGGGGAUGCAAUGGAAUCAAGAUGAAUGCAAGAAAUGCCAUAACAGCAAAGAUACCUUCAACAUGCAAUGCUGCAUGAAGUGUGGGCAAUAUUUUCAUAGAAAAUGCUUACCAAACAGUAAACAGGAAAUUGUUUGUAAUUAAUUAAGCUAUAUCCUUUGUAAACUUAUUUAAAAAUCCACAAAACAAUGAAAGCAUUCUAGUUCCUUCAUGAAUUCAUUUGUUUUCCAUUGUCAAUUAAUAUCAACUUGUUAUGAUCUUUCACGGAUUUAGUGAAUGCACUUUUCAACAAACUGGUGUUGCAAACAGUACAUAAUUUAUUUAAUUGUUCACACUCUAUGCAAAUAUUAAAUACAUUAGUAGCAAAAGGAAGAAUAGAACACUCACCUU